GAUUUUCUCGGGAUCACUCGAUCCCGAGUGCAUUUUCUCGGGAAAAAGGGGUCGCGAAGAAAUGGAGCUUGGGUGUUCCCAUUGUGAGCAAAUGCAUCUCGGGAUGAUUGAAGAACGGAGCGAAAGCGAAGUUGUUGGGAUCAGGAGGAGAGCGACGAUGCGGACGCAGCACGAGGACAUGGGCUGGGCUUCACAUUGGGCUUGCAAAUUCUAAUUUUGUGGAGGAAUCAAAUUAUGCUGAUUUAUUUUGCAAUUCGUUUCAUCUGUGAGGCCCCAUUAGGGAGUUAAGGAGAAUCGAGAGGAGUUUGGCAACGACUCAGGAAACUAGCCUGUUCUUCAUAUGCUUCAUCAGAUAAGUUCAAUAGACUAAAAGUUUGAUCGAU